AUUGAACGCUGGCGGCAGGCCUAACACAUGCAAGUCGAGCGGAUGAAGGGAGCUUGCUCCUGGAUUCAGCGGCGGACGGGUGAGUAAUGCCUAGGAAUCUGCCUGGUAGUGGGGGAUAACGUCCGGAAACGGGCGCUAAUACCGCAUACGUCCUGAGGGAGAAAGUGGGGGAUCUUCGGACCUCACGCUAUCAGAUGAGCCUAGGUCGGAUUAGCUAGUUGGUGGGGUAAAGGCCUACCAAGGCGACGAUCCGUAACUGGUCUGAGAGGAUGAUCAGUCACAAUGGAACUGAGAAAGGGUCCAGAAUCCUACGGGAGGCAGCAGGGGGGAAUAUGGGAAAAUGGGCGAAAGCCUGAUCCAGCCAGGCCGCGUGGGUGAAGAAGGUCUUCGGAUUGUAAAGCACUUUAAGUUGGGAGGAAGGGAAGUAAGUUAAUACCUUGCUGUUUGGACGUGACCAACAGAAUAAGCACCGGCGAACUUCGU
rnacentral:rRNA from 1 species